rnacentral:sRNA from 1 species
UCUCACUCUGUCCCCCAGGCUGGAGUGCAGUGGCAUGAUCUUGGCUCACUGCAACCUCUGCCUCCUGGGUUCAAGCGGUUCUCCUGCCUCAGCCUCCUGAGUAGCUGGGAUUACAGGUGCCUGCCAUCGUGCCCGGGACCCCUACCAUGGAGGAGACCAUCAAAGAUCCCCCCACAUCGGCUGUCUUGCUGGAUCACUGUCAUUUCUCUCAGGUCAUCUUUAACAGUGUGGAGAAGUUCUACAUCCCUGGAGGGGACGUCACAUGUCAUUAUACCUUCACCCAGCAUUUCAUCCCUCGUCGAAAGGAUUGGAUUGGCAUCUUUAGAGCUGGAGUGCAGUGGCACGAUUCGUCUCACUGCUACCUCCACCUCCCGGGUUCAAGCAGUUCUCCUGCCUCAGCAUCCCGAGUAGCUGAGAUUA